rnacentral:lncRNA from 1 species
GAAUCCACAGCCCCGGCGCCUGCGCAGUCCCGGCCGGCGCCCGCGGGCUUGCUCGCGGCUCCCCGGCCCCAGUGCGCAGGCCCAGAAGCGCGAGGAGCCCCGGGCCUGGGAACCGACAGUCCCGGCGCCUGCGCAGUGCGGCCGGCGGGGCUUGCUCGCCGCUCCCCGGGGCUCCGCGCCCGCACCGCCCGCCCACCUACAGCCGCAGGGGAGGAGGACGUCUUGAAGUGGGCGAGCUAGACUCUUGUCUCAUGGAGUCGAAGAAUGAAUCUCACAGACAAAGGUGAGUAAGUAAAGGGAGAGAAGUUUAUUAAGUGGGGAUACAGAGAAGGCUCUCGGGGUGAGAGGGUCCCGACAGGUUGCCACUGGGGGCUGGGAGUGGCAGUCUUCUACUGGGAGCUGACUGGGAAGCUCGUGGCCCUGAGAUUCUGGUGUUGUCUUGGUUUGAGCAAGGACUUUUGAUAACAGCCUUAAUGACUGACUUCUUUGUGGUCUGGUUAUUUUCCGUGGUUACAUUGUAGCCACCAAAGAAAAAUAUUCUCUAACAUCAGGAACCAGGUGGUCUGCUCUACUCCCUUAUCUCUGGUUUCCUUACAUCUCAGCAUUUUGGGGAUUUCUCUGAGCCAGACCACAUAGCCCCCUGUCUAUCUCUCCCUACCUAGACUUGCCUGUCCCUUACUCAGUUGGAGUCAGGGUAGCCCAAGAAAAUGAGAAGGGAAGGUUACCCUCCCACUCUGCCCUAAAGAAUGGAUUCAAGUUAAUCAGCUUCCUUUUUUUUAAAGAUUAUUUAUUUAUUUAUUCAUGAGAGACACAGAGAAAGACAUAGGCAGAGGGAGAAGUAGGCUCCCCAUGUGGCCCAACAUGGGACUUGAUCCCAGGACCCCGGGAUCAUGACCUGAGCUCAACCACUGAGCCACCCAGAUGUCCCAUCUUCCAGCUUCUUUGCAGGAAAGAGAGUGCAACUUAGAUGGAGAAACUGAAGAGGCAUUAAUGAAAGGACACCCUCCAGAGCUGUGAGCAGAUAUGAGGAAGCCAACAAGGGAUACUGAUGUAAGUAGACACUAGUAGCACCAAGCCCAGCCCUGAAGGGACUAAGGAAAGAAAAGACCUUGGAACUCCCCAUCGAAGGCAGGGAGAGCAGAGCCAUGCAGCUGGAGCCUAGAAGGACUACAGGCCAUGCUGGAACUGUGAUGACCAAGUAGGGAAGGGGCAGAGAAUAAAUGCUUCAUCCUCACACCUCCCUCUGGAUGG